CUAGGUUACUGAUUAGUAAGCAACUCCCUUCACCUGGUUGUCUAGGUAACUAAUUAGUAAGGAACUCCCCUCACCUGGUUGUCUAGGUUACUAAUUAGUAAGCAACUACCUUCACCUGGUUGUCUGGGUAACUAAUUAGUAAGGAACUCCCCUCACCUGGUUGUCUAGGUUACUAAUUAGUAAGGAACUGCCCUCACCUGGUUGUCUAGGCUACUAAUUAGUAAGGAACUGCCCUCACCUGGUUGUCUAGGCUACUAAUUAGUAAGGACCUGCCCUCACCUGGUUGUCUAGGCUACUAAUUAGUAAGGAACUGCCCUCACCUGGUUGUCUAGGCUACUAAUUAGUAAGGAACUGCCCUCACCUGGUUGUCUAGGCUACUAAUUAGUAAGGAACUGCCCUCACCUGGUUGUCUAGGCUACUAAUAGUAAGGAACUGCCCUCACCUGGUUGUCUAGGCUACUAAUUAGUAAGGAACUGCCCUCACCUGGUUGUCUAGGUUACUAAUUAGUAAGGAACUGCCCUCACCUGGUUGUCUAGGCUACUAAUUAGUAAGGAACUCCCCUCACCUGGUUGUCUAGGCUACUAAUUAGUAAAGAACUGCCAUCACCUGGUUGUCAAGGCUACUAAUUAGUAAGGAACUGCCCUCACCUGGUUGUCUAACUCUUUGAGAGGAAACACCAGACCUGACAUUAGACAGUCAUUCAUAAGGGAGGGAGGGAGAAACAUUUUAAGACUGUUGGGACUAGCUUUUAGCUAGUGAGUCAUGACGUCAUGAUACCCUCAGUGUUAGAGACAGCAUCUAUUGAGAGAACCCUGCUGAAAACUAGUGAGUCAUGACACCCUCAGUGUUAGAGACAGCAUCUAUUGAGAGAACCCUGCUGAAGACUAGUGAGUCAUGACACCCUCAGUGUUAGAGACAGCAUCUAUUGAGAGAACCCUGCUGAAGACUAGUGAGUCAUGACAUCAUGAUGCCCUCAGUGUUAGACAACAUCUAUUGAGAGAACCCUGCUGAAGACUAGUGAGUCAUGACAUCAUGUUUCCCUCAGUGUUAGACAGCAUCUAUUGAGAGAACCCUGCUGAAGACUAGUGAGUCAUGACGUCAUGAUGCCCUCAGUGUUAGAGACAGCAUCUAUUGAGAGAACCCUGCUGAAGACUAGUGAGUCAUGACAUCAUGAUGCCCUCAGUGUUAGACAACAUCUAUUGAGAGAACCCUGCUGAAGACUAGUGAGUCAUGACAUCAUGAUGCCCUCAGUGUUAGAGACAGCAUCUAUUGAGAGAACCCUGCUGAAGACUAGUGAGUCAUGACAUCAUGAUGCCCUCAGUGUUAGAGACAGCAUCUAUUGAGAGAACCCUGCUGAAGACUAGUGAGUCAUGACAUCAUGAUGCCCUCAGUGUUAGACAGCAUCUAUUGAGAGAACCCUGCUGAAGACUAGUGAGUCAUGACAUCAUGAUGCCCUCAGUGUUAGAGACAGCAUCUAUUGAGAGAACCCUGCUGAAGACUAGUGAGUCAUGACAUCAUGAUGCCCUCAGUGUUAGAGACAGCAUCUAUUGAGAGAACCCUGCUGAAGACUAGUGAGUCAUGACAUCAUGAUGCCCUCAGUGUUAGACAGCAUCUAUUGAGAGAACCCUGCUGAAGACUAGUGAGUCAUGACGUCAUGAUGCCCUCAGUGUUAGACAGCAUCUAUUGAGAGAACCCUGCUGAAGACUAGUGAGUCAUGACGUCAUGAUGCCCUCAGUGUUAGAGACAGCAUCUAUUGAGAGAACCCUGCUGAAGACUAGUGAGUCAUGACAUCAUGAUGCCCUCAGUGUUCGAGACAGCAUCUAUUGAGAGAACCCUGCUGAAGACUUGAACUCAGGCUAAGAUGCUAUUUAUGAAACGAAAUGUCGUGUAUAUAGAAAUGCAUUCCUCAAUGGUGUUAUUAUUGUUAAAGCUUUAUUUAACUUGGCAAGUCAGUUAAGAACAAAUUCUUAUUUACAAAGACGGCCUACAGGGGCAGAACGACUGAUUUUAACCUUGUUCAGCUCGGGGAUUCGAUCCAUCAACUUGCCCAUCUCUCUAACCACUAGGCUACCUGCCUCCCAAGCAGUAUGGUUGAUUCACUAUCAGGUUUUCAUUCUGAGUGUUAAAUUUAUUGAAUUGAUCUGAUGAGUAUUGUAGAUGUGUGGAAACAGGAGAGGCAGGGCUGUGGUCAGAGGAUGUUGCUGACAGACAGAAGGUUUUAGAUGUGGGGAAACAGGAGAGGCAGGGCUGUGGUCAGGAUGUUGCUGACAGACAGAAGGUUGUAGAUGUGUGGAAACAGGAGAGGCAGGGCUGUGGUCAGAGGAUGUUGCUGACAGGCAGAAGGUUGUAGAUGUGUGGAAACAGGAGAGGCAGGGCUGUGGUCAGAGGAUGUUGCUGACAGGCAGAAGGCUGUAGAUGUGUGGAAACAGGAGAGGCAGGGCUGUGGUCAGAGGAUGUUGCUGACAGACAGAAGGUUGUAGACGUGUGGAAACAGGAGAGGCAGGGCUGUGGUCAGAGGAUGUUGCUGACAGAC
ensembl:lncRNA